GCUGACGAGUGGCGGACGGGUGAGUAAUGUCUGGGAAACUGCCUGAUGGAGGGGGAUAACUACUGGAAACGGUAGCUAAUACCGCAUAACGUCUACGGACCAAAGUGGGGGACCUUCGGGCCUCAUGCCAUCAGAUGUGCCCAGAUGGGAUUAGCUAGUAGGUGGGGUAACGGCUCACCUAGGCGACGAUCCCUAGCUGGUCUGAGAGGAUGACCAGCCACACUGGAACUGAGACACGGUCCAGACUCCUACGGGAGGCAGCAGUGGGGAAUAUUGCACAAUGGGCGCAAGCCUGAUGCAGCCAUGCCGCGUGUAUGAAGAAGGCCUUCGGGUUGUAAAGUACUUUCAGCGGGGAGGAAGGUGUUGUGGUUAAUAACCGCAGCAAUUGACGUUACCCGCAGAAGAAGCACCGGCUAACUCCGUGCCAGCAGCCGCGGUAAUACGGAGGGUGCAAGCGUUAAUC
rnacentral:rRNA from 1 species